AUGGCGCACUCCUGCCUCUCCGCGGCGCGCACGGCGGCCGCGCUGCGCCUCCCGUUCCAGGCCGACCACGCCGCGUCCGCGUUCCACCGCCCGGCGCGCGCGCCGUCGUCCCGUCCGCACGCGCACCGGCUCAUUGCCGCCGUGCCGGUGCCGCGGGGGAGCAGGCGCGCGCUCGCCGUCGUCGCGAUGGCGUCGCAGGAGGAGGCCACGGCUGUCGAGGAGGCGCAGGAGGAAGACGUACAGGAAGAAGCCGCGGGGCAGCCGGAAGAGGAUGAGCCAGCAGCAGGGGAGGUCGAGGAGCAGCAGCCGGAGGAGGAGGAGGAGCAGGGCGCGGCCGCGGAGGCGAGCUCGGAAGGAGGCGAGGAGGCUAGUGGUGAUGGAAGCACUGGCACCGGGAGCAGCGCCACCAAACUCUACUUCGGGAACCUGCCGUACAACUGCGACAGCGCGCUGCUCGCCGGCAUCGUGCAGGACCACGCCGCCCCGGAGAUGGUCGAGGUGCUCUACGACCGGACGACGGGGAGGAGCCGGGGCUUCGCCUUCGUGACAAUGAGCACGCUCGAGGACUGCGAGCGGGUCAUCAAGAACCUCGACGGCACCCUGUACAGCGGGCGCACGAUGAGGGUGAACAUGGCCGACAGGCCGAAGCCGAAGGCGCCGCUGUACCCGGAAACGGAGCACAAGCUCUUCGUCGGCAACCUGUCGUGGACGGUCACCCCGGAGAUGCUCACCGACGCGUUCCAGCGCUGCGGCAACGUGGUGGGCGCCCGGGUGCUCUACGACGGCGAGACCGGCCGGUCCCGCGGCUACGGCUUCGUCUGCUACUCCACCAAGGAGGAGAUGGACCAGGCCAUCGAGACGCUCAACGGAACGGAAAUCGAAGGCAGGGAGAUCCGGGUCAACUUGGCCCUGGGGAAGAGAUACUAG
rnacentral:rRNA from 1 species